rnacentral:rRNA from 1 species
UACAGAGGUCCCAAGCGUUGUUCGGAUUCACUGGGCGUAAAGGGUGCGUAGGCGGUCGGGUAAGUCUGAUGUGAAAUCUCACAGCUUAACUGUGAAACUGCAUUGGAUACUAUCCGGCUCGAGGAAUGGAGGGGAGACUGGAAUACUUGGUGUAGCAGUGAAAUGCGUAGAUAUCAAGUGGAACACCAGUGGCGAAAGCGGCUUCCUGGUCCAGCACCGACGUUCAGGCACGAAAGCGUGGGGAGCAAACAGG